GCUCGAGUGGCGAACGGGUGAGUAACACGUGAGUAACCUGCCCUUGACUUUGGGAUAACUUCAGGAAACUGGGGCUAAUACCGGAUAGGAGCUCCUGCUGCAUGGUGGGGGUUGGGAAGUUUCGGCGGUUGGGGAUGGACUCGCGGCUUAUCAGCUUGUUGGUGGGGUAGUGGCUUACCAAGGCUUUGACGGGUAGCCGGCCUGAGAGGGUGACCGGCCACAUUGGGACUGAGAUACGGCCCAG
rnacentral:rRNA from 1 species